CCCUUAGAUGUUCUGGGCCGCACGCGCGCUACACUGAUGCAUUCAACGAGUCUAAAACCUGGUCUGAUAGGGCUGGGUAAUCUUUUGAAAGUGCAUCGUGAUUGGGAUAGAUGAUCGCAAUUCUUCAUCUUCAACGAGGAAUGCCUAGUAAACGCAAGUCAUCAGCUUGCAUUGAUUACGUCCCUGCCCUUUGUACACACCGCCCGUCGCUCCUACCGAUUGAAUGAUCCGAUGAAUACCAUGGAUUGAGAGUACGAAUGGGUUCGCUCAUUUCUGCUGCUCGAGAAGUGGAGUAAAUCUUAUCAUUUAGAGGAAGGAGAAGUCGUAACA
rnacentral:rRNA from 1 species